UGGUCUAACCACCACACAAACCGGUCGCUCGCUUUGCCGCGUACCGGCGCCACCACCCGGAUCGCCGACGAUCUCCGACGAAAACGACGGCUCGGGCAUCUAAUCCUCAGCCGCUUUUGUCGCCUUCGCCUGGCGCGCGGCACCCUUUCCGUCGCCGCCCGCCUUUCCCGUCGCUAGAUAUAGAGCUGCGCCUUGGUGCGCAUACAUGGCAGGGCAGGCAGUUCAUGGCCUGACACGCGCGCGGAAACAAGAUAAAUACAGCGUCAUCUUCUUCGUUUCGCGUCAUGGUUGUCGAGGGGAAUGACGCCGGGUCCGAAAGAGAGACGCUCGCAUGGCGUGCGCGUGGUGCGUUUCGGACCAGGCUUCAUUCCCCAUGACUCCAUCAUGGUUCAGGUUCACGGACUCGGCAUCGCCGGUGUUCUUGUGAGCUCCACCUGUGCUUCUGUCCAUGUGGUCUGAAACAAAACAGACGGUACUCCCCAUGCCUGCCUGCAGCUAGCGAAGGCUGGUGAUGAUUGGAAUAGAGAAGGAUUUCUUCAAGAUGCGGCGCACGCAUGACAGAUGGGUCGACAUAAAUCAACUCCAGAGCAGCUCUACUUGCACCAAAGCAAAGAGAAGAGCUAGCUACAGUUCGAUCAGGUAGUCCAAGACCACCAAAAGCUAUCAGCCUAUUUUCAGAAUGAAAGCUGGAUUCUGCAUGCUGCAAUGUCAGAGCCUGCAUGCUGUGAAUGUCAGAUCUAGGUGCAAACAUUCAGUAUGAAGGCAACUGCAAUUCACAAGUUUGUAACACGGUGUAACUGCUGCUGCGGCACGGUUAAAUUAAUUCCAUAUGCACGUUUCAUUUCA